rnacentral:rRNA from 1 species
AGAGUUUGAUCCUGGCUCAGGACGAACGCUGGCGGUGCGCCUUAUGCAUGCAAGUCGAGCGAAGCUUUUCAGUAGUUUACUACAGAAAAUGACUGAGCGGCGAACGGGUGAGUAACGCGUGAGCAAUCUACCUUAGUUACUGGGAUAGCCCGAGGAAACUCGGAUUAAUACCGGAUAAUCUUAUUACAUCACAUGAUAUUUUAAGUAAAGGUCAGCCGAACUAAGAUGAGCUCGCGUUCUAUCAGCUAGUUGGUGGGGUAAAAGCCUACCAAGGCUACGACGGAUAGCUGGUCUGAGAGGACGAUCAGCCACACUGGGACUGAGACACGGCCCAGACUCCUACGGGAGGCUGCAGCAGGGAAUAUUGUGCAAUGAGCGAAAGCUUGACACAGCGACACCGCGUGUGGGAUGACGGAUCUAGGUUUGUAAACCACUUUCAGGAGGGAAGAAAAUGACGGUACCUCCACAAGAAGCCCCGGCCAACUACGUGCCAGCAGCCGCGGUAAUACGUAGGGGGCGAGCGUUGUCCGGAUUUAUUGGGCGUAAAGAGCUCGUAGGCGGUUCAACAAGUCGGUCGUGAAAGUUUAGGGCUUAACCCUGAAAUGUCGAUCGAUACUGUUGUGACUAGGAUAUGGUAGAGGUGAAUGGAAUUCCGAGUGUAGCGGUGAAAUGCGUAGAUAUUCGGAGGAACACCAAUUGCGAAGGCAGUUCACUGGACCACUAUCGACGCUGAGGAGCGAAAGCUAGGGGAGCAAACAGGAUUAGAUACCCUGGUAGUCCUAGCUGUAAACGAUGGAUACUAGAUGU